UACAGAGGUCUCAAGCGUUGUUCGGAUUCAUUGGGCGUAAAGGGUGCGUAGGCGGCGCGGUAAGUCGGGUGUGAAAUCUCGGAGCUUAACUCCGAAACUGCAUUCGAUACUGCCGUGCUUGAGGACUGGAGAUGAGACUGGAAUUUACGGUGUAGCGGUGAAAUGCGUAGAUAUCGUAAGGAAGACCAGUGGCGAAGGCGGGUCUCUGGACAGUUCCUGACGCUGAGGCACGAAGGUCAGGGGAGCAAACGGG
rnacentral:rRNA from 1 species